GUCGGGCAUGUGGCACGUGCCUGUAAUCCCAACUACUCAGGAGGCUGAGGCAGGAGAAUCGCUUGAACCCAGGAGCUGAGGUUGCAGUGAGCCGAGAUCACGGCUCUGCACUCCAGCCUGGGUGACAGAGUGAGACUCUGUCUCAA
ensembl:misc_RNA Metazoa_SRP Metazoan signal recognition particle RNA